AGAGUUUGAUCCUGGCUCAGGAUGAACGCUGGCGGCGUGCCUAAUACAUGCAAGUCGAGCGAACGGACGAGAAGCUUGCUUCUCUGAUGUUAGCGGCGGACGGGUGAGUAACACGUGGAUAACCUACCUAUAAGACUGGGAUAACUUCGGGAAACCGGAGCUAAUACCGGAUAAUAUUUUGAACCGCAUGGUUCAAAAGUGAAAGACGGUCUUGCUGUCACUUAUAGAUGGAUCCGCGCUGCAUUAGCUAGUUGGUAAGGUAACGGCUUACCAAGGCAACGAUGCAUAGCCGACCUGAGAGGGUGAUCGGCCACACUGGAACUGAGACACGGUCCAGACUCCUACGGGAGGCAGCAGUAGGGAAUCUUCCGCAAUGGGCGAAAGCCUGACGGAGCAACGCCGCGUGAGUGAUGAAGGUCUUCGGAUCGUAAAACUCUGUUAUUAGGGAAGAACAUAUGUGUAAGUAACUGUGCACAUCUUGACGGUACCUAAUCAGAAAGCCACGGCUAACUACGUGCCAGCAGCCGCGGUAAUACGUAGGUGGCAAGCGUUAUCCGGAAUUAUUGGGCGUAAAGCGCGCGUAGGCGGUUUUUUAAGUCUGAUGUGAAAGCCCACGGCUCAACCGUGGAGGGUCAUUGGAAACUGGAAAACUUGAGUGCAGAAGAGGAAAGUGGAAUUCCAUGUGUAGCGGUGAAAUGCGCAGAGAUAUGGAGGAACACCAGUGGCGAAGGCGACUUUCUGGUCUGUAACUGACGCUGAUGUGCGAAAGCGUGGGGAUCAAACAGGAUUAGAUACCCUGGUAGUCCACGCCGUAAACGAUGAGUGCUAAGUGUUAGGGGGUUUCCGCCCCUUAGUGCUGCAGCUAACGCAUUAAGCACUCCGCCUGGGGAGUACGACCGCAAGGUUGAAACUCAAAGGAAUUGACGGGGACCCGCACAAGCGGUGGAGCAUGUGGUUUAAUUCGAAGCAACGCGAAGAACCUUACCAAAUCUUGACAUCCUUUGACAACUCUAGAGAUAGAGCCUUCCCCUUCGGGGGACAAAGUGACAGGUGGUGCAUGGUUGUCGUCAGCUCGUGUCGUGAGAUGUUGGGUUAAGUCCCGCAACGAGCGCAACCCUUAAGCUUAGUUGCCAUCAUUAAGUUGGGCACUCUAAGUUGACUGCCGGUGACAAACCGGAGGAAGGUGGGGAUGACGUCAAAUCAUCAUGCCCCUUAUGAUUUGGGCUACACACGUGCUACAAUGGACAAUACAAAGGGUAGCGAAACCGCGAGGUCAAGCAAAUCCCAUAAAGUUGUUCUCAGUUCGGAUUGUAGUCUGCAACUCGACUACAUGAAGCUGGAAUCGCUAGUAAUCGUAGAUCAGCAUGCUACGGUGAAUACGUUCCCGGGUCUUGUACACACCGCCCGUCACACCACGAGAGUUUGUAACACCCGAAGCCGGUGGAGUAACCUUUUAGGAGCUAGCCGUCGAAGGUGGGACAAAUGAUUGGGGUGAAGUCGUAACAAGGUAGCCGUAUCGGAAGGUGCGGCUG
rnacentral:rRNA from 1 species